ensembl:lncRNA
AUGACACAGACUGGCUACACCAUCUCAUCUGCCACAGAUACUGUAUCAGGAGGACAGCGCGUUUGUUUGAGGCACUUUUCACUUCAAUUGUGUCUGACAGGAGAAUUAGCUUUUCUGAGCUUACUAGCCGUUGAGAGUUGCCAUGGCAACCGCGGACACAUCAGCUGCUGGAGAGGAGAGGACGCGUCUGACACUUUCUCUGUUUCUCGUCAGUUAUACCAAAGAAAAGUUCAACACCUGCGACAGAUUGCCGUUGAGAGUUACCAUGGCAACCGCGGACACAUCAGCUGCUGGAAAAACAGAGGGGAAGUUCCAAGAAAAUUUCUAAUGGGAGCUGCUGACAGAGAUAUAGAAAACACAGGUAAUCCGAGAAAGCUGAUUAAAUAACUUCAUAUUGAUUUUUUUACAAUAUAUCAUCAUGCAUCUGU